rnacentral:rRNA from 1 species
GUUUCCUACGGGGCGCAGCAGUGAGGAAUAUUGGUCAAUGGCCGAGAGGCUGAACCAGCCAAGUCGCGUGAGGGAUGACGGCCCUACGGGUUGUAAACCUCUUUUGUCGGGGAGCAAGACCCGCCUCGUGCAGGCGGAGCGAGAGUACCCGAAGAAAAAGCAUCGGCUAACUCCGUGCCAGCAGCCGCGGUAAUACGGAGGAUGCGAGCGUUAUCCGGAUUUAUUGGGCGUAAAGCGAGUGCAGGCGGUUCAAUAAGUCUGAU